UACGAAGGGGGCUAGCGUUGUUCGGAAUUACUGGGCGUAAAGCGCACGUAGGCGGAUAUUUAAGUCAGGGGUGAAAUCCCAGAGCUCAACUCUGGAACUGCCUUUGAUACUGGGUAUCUUGAGUAUGGAAGAGGUAAGUGGAAUUGCGAGUGUAGAGGUGAAAUUCGUAGAUAUUCGCAGGAACACCAGUGGCGAAGGCGGCUCACUGGCCCGGUACUGACGCUGAGGUGCGAAAAGCGUGGGGAGCAAACAGG
rnacentral:rRNA from 1 species